rnacentral:rRNA from 1 species
CGGCGGACGGGUGAGUAACGCGUGGGUAACCUGCCUCGUACAGGGGGAUAACAGUUGGAAACGGCUGCUAAUACCGCAUAAGCGCACAGUACCGCAUGGUACCGUGUGAAAAACUCCGGUGGUAUGAGAUGGACCCGCGUCUGAUUAGCUAGUUGGUGGGGUAACGGCCUACCAAGGCGACGAUCAGUAGCCGGCCUGAGAGGGUGAACGGCCACAUUGGGACUGAGACACGGCCCAA